rnacentral:rRNA from 1 species
AUGCACGCUGGCGGCGUGCCUAAUACAUGCCAGUCGCGCGAACAGACGAGGAGCUUGCUCCUCUGACGUUAGCGGCGGACGGGUGAGUAACACGUGGAUAACCUACCUAUAAGACUGGGAUAACUUCGGGAAACCGGAGCUAAUACCGGAUAAUAUAUUGAACCGCAUGGUUCAAUAGUGAAAGACGGUUUUGCUGUCACUUAUAGAUGGAUCCGCGCCGCAUUAGCUAGUUGGUAAGGUAACGGCUUACCAAGGCAACGAUGCGUAGCCGACCUGAGAGGGUGAUCGGCCACACUGGAACUGAGACACGGUCCAGACUCCUACGGGAGGCAGCAGUAGGGAAUCUUCCGCAAUGGGCGAAAGCCUGACGGAGCAACGCCGCGUGAGUGCUGAAGGUCUUCGGAUCGUAAAACUCUGUUAUUAGGGAAGAACAAAUGUGUAAGUAACUAUGCACGUCUUGACGGUACCUAAUCAGAAAGCCACGGCUAACUACGUG